UACGGAGGGUGCAAGCGUUAUCCGGAUUUAUUGGGUUUAAAGGGUCCGUAGGUGGAAUUGUAAGUCAGUGGUGAAAUCUUUCGGCUUAACCGGAAAACUGCCAUUGAUACUGCAGUUCUUGAGUAUGCUCGAGGUAGGCGGAAUAUGUCAUGUAGCGGUGAAAUGCAUAGAUAUGACAUAGAACACCGAUAGCGAAGGCAGCUUACCAGAUCAUAACUGACACUGAUGGACGAAAGCGUGGGGAGCGAAC
rnacentral:rRNA from 1 species